AUAAUAAAGUGUGCAUAGCUACUUACCGUUGUCUGCAUAAGGCACAUGAAAAACAUAACAUAGUUUUCGAUCAGUGAAAAUGAGCGUGUCGGUCAAGUUCAACUUACCCACUUGGUAUUCAAAGGCAUUCCUUGUUUUCUUGUAUCCAUAUUGAAAAACAGGCCUUCACUGUUUCUGACACGUUGUAACUGAAGGUAAAAGAGGAAGA